rnacentral:lncRNA from 1 species
CUAUCCAUGCUUAGGUAUGGAGUUUUAAACUUAAUUCAUAUUUAGAUAUGAUCUAAAUAUAAUUUAGAUAUAAUCUAAUUUGAUAUAGAUAUGAUCUAUGUUUGCUGAAUUUUAGAUUUUAGAUUUACAUAUAUGCAUAUUAGUUCAUAUUAUAGAUCCUGUAUGGUAGUUUUAGAUUUGAUCUAUACAUGCAUUAUAGAUUAACUUAUUUAAUCUAUGUAUGUUUCACUAUAAAAUUUAAAAAAUGCAUGCACAAAACCAUCAUGC